rnacentral:rRNA from 1 species
AGUUUGAUCCUGGCUCAGGACGAACGCUGGCGGCGUGCCUAAUACAUGCAAGUUGAACGCUUCUUUCUUAUCGAACUUCGGUUCNCCAAGAAAGAGGAGUAGCGAACGGGUGAGUAACACGUGGGUAACCUGCCCAUCAGCGGGGGAUAACACUUGGAAACAGGUGCUAAUACCGCAUAAUGCUUUUUCUCACAUGAGAGAAAGCUGAAAGGCGCUUUUGCGUCACUGAUGGAUGGACCCGCGGUGCAUUAGCUAGUUGGUAGGGUAACGGCCUACCAAGGCAACGAUGCAUAGCCGACCUGAGAGGGUGAUCGGCCACACUGGGACUGAGACACGGCCCAGACUCCUACGGGAGGCAGCAGUAGGGAAUCUUCGGCAAUGGACGAAAGUCUGACCGAGCAACGCCGCGUGAGUGAAGAAGGUUUUCGGAUCGUAAAACUCUGUUGUUAGAGAAGAACAAGGAUGAGAAGAGAAUGUUCAUCCCUUGACGGUAUCUAACCAGAAAGCCACGGCUAACUACGUGCCAGCAGCCGCGGUAAUACGUAGGUGGCAAGCGUUGUCCGGAUUUAUUGGGCGUAAAGCGAGCGCAGGCGGUUCUUUAAGUCUGAUGUGAAAGCCCCCGGCUUAACCGGGGAGGGUCAUUGGAAACUGGGGAACUUGAGUGCAGAAGAGGAGAGUGGAAUUCCAUGUGUAGCGGUGAAANGNGUAGAUAUAUGGAGGAACACCAGUGGCGAAGGCGGCUCUCUGGUCUGUAACUGA